AACGAGGGGUAUUCCACAAAAAAUUACCCUGAGGGAUGAAAUAUUUCGAGGGCGAAGCCCGAGGAAUAUUUCAUCCCGCAGGGUAAUUUUUUGUGGAAUACCCCGA
rnacentral:miRNA from 1 species